AUCUGAGAAGAUGGGGGUGGGGGGGUUUGAGGGGCUCUAGUUAAUUUCAGGUAGGAACUCUGGUGGCCUUUUUUUCUUUUAAUACAGUUUUUUAAAAAGAUCAGAGAGUCUGACAGUUCUUUUCAGUCUUCUCACACCAAAGAGGAAAAACUGUGAUUGUCUAGACCUGUACUUUCUAGGUCCGAGAUUCCCUUAACCAGAACCAUGACGACUGCUCAAAAACUAGCACAGAUGAUAAUCUUUUUCUGCCCCAUCCUCAGUCUCAGCCUGCUGAAGAGACAUCAAUACCCUUAGCUCUCAGUAUCUCCUGAAACCAGUAGCAAGGAGUCAGAGGCAAGCACCUGCUUUUCGAAAACAGCAUGAGUGGCUGCUGUGGGGAGCUUGCCAUCCAGACACCCAUCUGGAGUUUAUUCUGCCGCCACUUUGGUGCCUCCCCACGUAAAUUAUAAGAAUGAGCAUCAUGUGGGGAGGAGGAUGAGGGAGUAGAAUGCAUUAAGACAUCAUUUCAUCAACAUGCAGAACUCCAGGUGAAAAUGCCUCGCAUUGACUGCAGAUGGUCAAUUAAUCUGUAACUUCAUCUUAGACAAUUCCCUACUCACCGAGUCCAUCGUCACAUAACACUUAUUUUGUUAUAACUUCUAUGCAAUUAUUUCUUAUUUUCCCUAAGUUCCAUGAGGACGGGUAUCUAUUUCUGAGUGUUUUCUUUCAUCUUUUGUUCCUAGCAUGUAAUUUAGAAAAAUGAAGUUUGUAAAUGUUAACUAAGUAAAUGUUAUAUUGAUUUGAAUUUAAUUCACUAAUGUCUUUCUUUAUAGCAAGAUAUGUCCCAUUGUCCUUUGGAAAGUUAAUUCUAGUGGGUCUGGUUAUCAAAGGGGGCUGAUGGUGCAGAUGCUGAUGGGGAACUGAUUCAGCCUUCCCCCACUUAGUAUCCAAGAGUCAAUCCUUGAAUCCUUUGUAGUACUUUAUCCUUGAUAGCUAUAAGGUGAUUUUUUUAGUGCUUCCUGUGCGCUCUGGCUAAUGGUAUAAAUACCAUAAUAAGAUGUUGCCUACUCUGAAAGAGUCUAUAGUCUAAUGGAAGACAAAACUGAAAUGACUUCAGCUCUGCAUCAUUUCACUGAACAAAAAUGACCAUUUUGGAAUUCUCGGUAGUUUUUAACUAAAGCAACACUGAAGACGUUUAUGUCCUAUAACUGUAUUUGGUUUAGUAAACCUCAACUGUUAGAAUUUGGAGCGUAUAUUGGUCACUGUUUUCUCCACAUCGGAAUUUCUAAUCAAUUUUAACAACCAUUAAUUAUAUGUGCUAGGAACUGUCAUGAGUGCUUGAAAUACAAUGAAAAAGCAGGACAGUCAAUCAAAUCACAUCUAAUGAGGGAGAUAAUAUGUAAAUAAAUAGGUUAUGUACCAAAAUAAUAGGAGCGAUGGUUUUAGUGCCUGAGUUAUUGGGAUAGACCUCUUGCAGAAAAUGGGAUUUAAGCUGAGUCUUAAAGGAGCCAGGGUUUCUGAAAGGCAGAGGCAGAGAGCAAGAGCAUUGUAGGCAUGGUCAAGCCAGCACAAAAGCACAAAGAUGGGACAUGGAACUCUGUGUAUAAAUAAUAGCAAAUAAGGCCAAUAUUUUGCAUGAUAUAAGAAGGGGGAAUGACUAGAAAUGACCAAAUUCUGAAGAGCUUUAAAUCCAAAAUAAAACCUCUUGUGCUUGAUCCUAGAAGUAAUACUGAAAAAAUCACUAGAGUUCAUUGUUAAA